rnacentral:rRNA from 1 species
UACGAAGGGGGCUAGCGUUGCUCGGAAUCACUGGGCGUAAAGCGCACGUAGGCGGAUUGUUAAGUCAGGGGUGAAAUCCUGGAGCUCAACUCCAGAACUGCCUUUGAUACUGGCGAUCUCGAGUCCGGGAGAGGUGAGUGGAACUGCGAGUGUAGAGGUGAAAAUUCGUAGAUAUUCGCAAGAACACCAGUGGCGAAGGCGGCUCACUGGCCCGAGUACUGACGCUGAGGCACGAAAGCGUGGGGAGCAACA